GGAGAUAUGGCUCAGUGGUUAAGAGCACUGGCUGCUCUUCCAGAGGUCCUGAGUUCAAUUCCCAGCAACCACA
rnacentral:tRNA from 1 species